AUCAAGUCCUGUCACCAAAAAGCCUGGAGAAACUUUGAAUCUCUCGUGUAAAGGAUCUGGAUUUGAUUUUGGACAGUACGGCAUGCACUGGAUCAGACAGUCAGCAGGACAAAUAUUUAUCUGGAUGGGGGUUAUCUGUUUUAAGAUGAAGAGAAGCAGCUUGUUCUCACUCGUCUCAAACCAUGAUCUCUUCAUCUCUCUGGUUGUUGCUGCUGCUGGCAGCUGUUUCUCGUGUUCACUGUGUUGAACUGAUCCAGACUGAUUCUAUGGUCUUAAGUCCUGGUCAGGUUUUGACACUGUCCUGUAAACUCUCUGGAUAUACAGUGACUGACAGCUACUGCACUGGCUUCAUUCGGCAGCCUGCAGGAAAAGCUCUGGAAUGGGUUGGGAUGAUAUGUAGUAGUGGUGGUAGCACAUAUUACAGUGAUAAACUGAAAAGUAGAUUUCAAGUCACCAGAGAUUCUUCCAGCAACACAGUGACUCUUCAAGGACAGAAUAUGUAGACUGAGGACACAUCUGU